rnacentral:rRNA from 1 species
AGCGAACGCUGGCGGCAGGCUUAACACAUGCAAGUCGAGCGGGCAUCUUCGGAUGUCAGCGGCAGACGGGUGAGUAACACGUGGGAACGUACCCUUCGGUUCGGAACAACUCUGGGAAACUGGAGCUAAUACCGGAUACGCCCUUAUGGGGAAAGGUUUACUGCCGAAGGAUCGGCCCGCGUCUGAUUAGCUAGUUGGUGGGGUAACGGCCUACCAAGGCGACGAUCAGUAGCUGGUCUGAGAGGAUGAUCAGCCACACUGGGACUGAGACGCGGCCCAGACUCCUACGGGAGGCAGCAGUGGGGAAUAUUGGACAAUGGGCGCAAGCCUGAUCCAGCCAUGCCGCGUGAGUGAUGAAGGCCUUAGGGUUGUAAAGCUCUUUUGUCCGGGACGAUAAUGACGGUACCGGAAGAAUAAGCCCCGGCUAACUUCGUG